GGCUUACCAAGGGCGAUGAUGCAUAGCCCGAGUUGAGAGACUGAUCGGCCACAUUGGGGACUGAGACACGGCCCAAACUCCUACGGGAGGCAGCAGUAGGGAAUCUUCCACAAUGGACGCAAGUCUGAUGGAGCAAAUGCCGCGUGAGUGAAGUAAGGUUUUCGGAUACGUAAAAAGCUCUGUUGUUGGUGAAGAAGGAUAGAGGUAGUAACUGGCCCUUUAUUUGACGGUAAUCAACCCAGAAAGUCACGGGCUAACUACGUGCCCAGCAGCCGCGGUAAAU
rnacentral:rRNA from 1 species